rfam:Wenxinia saemankumensis strain DSM 100565 genome assembly, contig: Ga0131179_104
GGGCCGUUAGCUCAGUUGGUAGAGCAACUGACUUUUAAUCAGUAGGUCGCUGGUUCGAACCCAGCACGGCUCA